rnacentral:rRNA from 1 species
GAUGAACGCUGGCGGUAUGCUUAACACAUGCAAGUUGAACGAAGGUUUUACCUUAGUAGCGGACGGGUGAGUAAUGCGUGAGAAUCUGCCUUUAGGAGGGGAAUAACAGUUGGAAACGACUGCUAAUGCCCCAUAUGCUGAAAGUGAAAUAAUAUUUUGCCUAGAGAUGAGCUCACGUCUGAUUAGCUUGUUGGUGGGGUAAUGGCCUACCAAGGCAACGAUCAGUAGCUGAUUUGAGAGGAUGAUCAGCCACACUGGAACUGAGACACGGUCCAGACUUCUACGGAAGGCAGCAGUGGGAAUUUUCCGCAAUGGGCGAAAGCCUGACGGAGCAAUACCGCGUGAGGGAUGAAUGCCUAUGGGUUGUAAACCUCUUUUAUUAGGGAAGAUUAUGACGGUACCUAAUGAAUAAGCAUCGGCUAACUCCGUGCCAGCCGCCGCGGUAA